rnacentral:rRNA from 1 species
UACGUAGGGGGCAAGCGUUGUCCAGAUUUAUUGGGCGUAAAGAGCGUGUAGGCGGCUAUACAGGUCCGUUGUGAAAACUCGAGGCUCAACCUCGAGACGCCGAUGGAAACCGUAUGGCUAGAGUCCGGAAGAGGAGAGCGGAAUUCCUGGUGUAGCGGUGAAAUGACGCAGAUAUCAGGAAGAACACCCGUGGCGAAAGCGGCUCUCUGGAACGGUACUGACGCUGAGACGCGAAAGCGUGGGGAGCGAACAGG